rnacentral:rRNA from 1 species
GAUCAAGCGCGAGAAGGGCGUUUGGUGGAUGCCUUGGCAGUAAGAGGCGAUGAAGGACGUGAUACUCUGCGAUAAGCUUUGGGAAGUCGAGAAUAGACGCUAUACCCAAAGAUCUCCGAAUGGGGCAACCCAACUGAUACUUUGUUAUUGUUACACUUUUGUGUAAUCAAUAAUGGGGUAAAACAGUUAUUAAUUACCUGAAUACAUAGGGUUUUUAAAGCAAACCUGGGGAACUGAAACAUCUAAGUACCCAGAGGAAAGGAAAUCAAUAGAUACUCCCGUAGUAGUGGCGAGCGAACCGGGACCAGCCGAGCGAUGAAUGUGACUAGAACCAGUUGGAAAGCUGGGCAAUAUGGGUGACAGCCCCGUAUAGGAAGCAUGAUUUGACGUAUUAAGUAGGGCGGAACACGUGAAAUUCUGUCUGAACAUGGGGGGACCACCCUCUAAGGCUAAGUACUCCUUACUGACCGAUAGCGAACCAGUACCGUGAGGGAAAGGUGAAAAGCACCCCGACGAGGGGAGUGAAACAGUUUCUGAAACCGGACGCCUACAAACAGUUGGAGCCUCUUUAUGGGGUGACAGCGUACCUUUUGUAUAAUGGGUCAACGACUUGGUCUUACUAGCAAGCUUAAGCCGAUAGGUGUAGGCGCAGCGAAAGCGAGUCUUAAUAGGGCGAAUGAGUUAGUAGGAUCAGACCCGAAACCGAGUGAUCUAGGCAUGAGCAGGUUGAAGGUAAGGUAACACUUACUGGAGGACCGAACCCACAUCUGUUGAAAAAGAUCGGGAUGACUUGUGCCUAGGGGUGAAAGGCCAAUCAAACUCGGAGAUAGCUGGUUCUCCGCGAAAUCUAUUUAGGUAGAGCGUCGCACGAAUACCUUGGGGGGUAGAGCACUGAAUGGGUAAUGGGGACUCACCGUCUUACUGAUCCUAAUCAAACUCCGAAUACCCAAGAGUAAUAUGCGGCAGACACACUGCGGAUGCUAACGUCCGUAGUGGAGAGGGAAACAACCCUGACCCUCAGCUAAGGCCCCUAAUUCAUGGCUAAGUGGGAAAGCAGGUGGGACGACCAAAACAACCAGGAAGUUGGCUUAGAAGCAGCCAUCUUUUAAAGAUAGCGUAACAGCUCACUGGUCUAAUUUAAGUUAUCCUGCGGCGAAGAUGUACCGGGGCUCAAGCCAUGAGCCGAAGCUAGGGAUGCAAUUUAUUGCAUGGUAGCGGAGCGUUCUGUGAUAUAGAACGCUGCGUCUUUAGUAUCUUAGGAUAUUGUGGACGCAAUGUUCUGACUGUGAAGCCGGCGCGUAAGCGAUCCGGUGGAGUGAUCAGAAGUGAGAAUGUUGACAUGAGUAGCGACAAACAGGGUGAGAGACCCUGUCGCCGAAAGUCCAAGGGUUCCUGCUUAAAGCUAAUCUGAGCAGGGUAAGCCGACCCCUAAGGCGAGGCCGAAAGGCGUAGUCGAUGGGAACCAGUUUAAUAUUACUGGGCCAGGAGAUGGUGACGGAUCGAAAGCGUAGUGACUCCUUAUCGGAUUGAAGUUGCUGCCGGACGGUUCCUGGAAAUAGCCCUCCAUUAGAUCGUACCCUAAACCAACACAGGUGGACUGGUAGAGAAUACCAAGGCGCUUGAGAGAACUACAUUGAAGGAACUCGGCAAAAUGCCUCCGUAAGUUCGCGAGAAGGAGGCCCCAUCAGAAGGCAACUUUUGGUGGGGGGGCACAGACCAGGGGGUGGCGACUGUUUACUAAAAACACAGGGCUCUGCGAAGUCGUAAGACGACGUAUAGGGUCUGACGCCUGCCCGGUGCUGGAAGGUUAAGAGGAGGUGUGCAAGCACUGAAUUGAAGCCCCAGUAAACGGCGGCCGUAACUAUAACGGUCCUAAGGUAGCGAAAUUCCUUGUCGGGUAAGUUCCGACCUGCACGAAUGGCGUAACGACUUCCCCGCUGUCUCCAAUGUAGACUCAGCGAAAUUGAAUUGCCUGUUAAGAUGCAGGCUUCCCGCGGUUAGACGGAAAGACCCCGUGCACCUUUACUACAGCUUCACACUGGCAUUAGGUCAGACGUGUGCAGGAUAGGUGGUAGGCUUUGAAACUCGGACGCUAGUUCGGGUGGAGCCUCCCUUGAGAUACCACCCCUGUCUGUCUUGAUGUCUAACCGCGGUCCGUUAUCCGGAUCCGGGACCCUGUGUGGCGGGUAGUUUGACUGGGGCGGUCGCCUCCUAAAGAGUAACGGAGGCGCGCGAUGGUUGGCUCAGACCGGUCGGAAAUCGGUCGUCGAGUGCAAUGGCAUAAGCCAGCCUGACUGUGAGUCUGACAAGACGAGCAGAGACGAAAGUCGGUCAUAGUGAUCCGGUGGUCCCGAGUGGAAGGGCCAUCGCUCAACGGAUAAAAGGUACGCCGGGGAUAACAGGCUGAUACUGCCCAAGAGUCCAUAUCGACGGCAGUGUUUGGCACCUCGAUGUCGGCUCAUCUCAUCCUGGGGCUGGAGCAGGUCCCAAGGGUAUGGCUGUUCGCCAUUUAAAGAGGUACGUGAGCUGGGUUUAGAACGUCGUGAGACAGUUCGGUCCCUAUCUGCCGUGGGUGUAGGAGACUUGAUGGGAGUUGCCCCUAGUACGAGAGGACCGGGGUGAACGAUCCACUGGUGGAUCUGUUGUUGCGCCAGCAGCAGUGCAGAGUAGCUAUGAUCGGACAGGAUAACCGCUGAAGGCAUCUAAGCGGGAAGCCCCCCCAGAAACAAGGUCUCCCUUGAGGGCCGUGGAAGACCACCACGUCGAUAGGUCGGAGAUGUAAGUGCUGUAAAGCAUUCAGUUGACCGAUACUAAUUGCCCGAUAGGCUUGAUUUG